rnacentral:lncRNA from 1 species
AUGUUAUUUAUAAAGUCGAACACAAACUGGAUAUGGUUUUACAAUUGGUGAAACUGCAAUUACAUAGCGUUCCGAGAAACGAUCCUAGGUUUCAACUUCUUCAAAGCAUGUCGAGAAUAUAUGUGGCUUCGAUCAAUGAGUCACCACAUAUAAGAAUUAAGCAGAAUAGUCAACGAGAAAGAGCCGACGAAAACAUUUGAAGAUAAUUGGCUUGUGUCGCUCAACUCAAAUAAGGUUACAUUAAGAGU